rnacentral:snoRNA from 1 species
UUGCAAACCAUCAGCAUCAGGGUUUAGGGUGACCCUGCGCAUUCCUGCAGUGUUUGCUCAGAGUGUAAGGUCUAAAAUGGUUUGCUCUGUCCCUCCUUCAGAGCAUGGUCAUAGACAUUUCACAUAGUU